rnacentral:rRNA from 1 species
CCUACGGGAGGCAGCAGUGAGGAAUAUUGGUCAAUGGGCGCUAGCCUGAACCAGCCAAGUAGCGUGAAGGAUGACUGCCCUAUGGGUUGUAAACUUCUUUUAUAUGGGAAUAAAGUGCAGUAUGUAUACUGCUUUGCAUGUUCCUUAGGAAUAAGGAUCGGCUAACUCCGUGCCCGCAGCCGCGGUAAUACGGAGGAUGCGAGCGUUAUCCGGAUUUAUUGGGUUUAAAGGGUGCGCAGGCGGACUUUUAAGUCAGCGGUAAAAUCGUGGGGCUCAAACCCAUCCAGCCGUUGAAACUGGGGACCUAGAGUGGGCGAGAGGAAUGCGGAAUGCGUGGUGUAGCGGUGAAAUGCAUAGAUAUCACGCAGAACCCCGAUUGCGAAGGCAGCAUACCGGUGCACAACUGACGCUCAGGCACGAAAGCGCGGGUAUCGAACAGGAUUAGAUACCCGAGUAGUC